CGAUAAGGGGACCCCGAGUGCGAGGGCAUACAGUCCUCGCUUUUCAGUACCGUAGGGAGGUACUGGAAUAAGAGCUGGGCAAGACCGGUGCCAGCCGCCGCGGUAAUACCGGCAGCUCGAGUGAUGGCCGAUUUUAUUGGGCCUAAAGCGUUCGUAGCCGGCCACACAAGUCCAUCGGGAAAUCCGCCAGCCUAACUAGCGGGCGUCCGGUGGAAACUGUGUGGCUCGGGACCGGAAGAUCCCGAAAGGGUACGUCUUGGGUAGGAGUGAAAUCCUGUAAUCCUGGACGGACCGCCGAUGGCGAAAGCACUUCGGGAAGACGGAUCCGACGGUGAGGAACGAAAGCCAGGGUCUCGAACCGGAUUAGAUACCCGGGUAGUCCUGGCCGUAAACGAUGUCUGCUAGGUGUGACUCCCACUACGAGUGGGUGUUGUGCCGUAGGGAAGCCGCUAAGCAGACCGCCUGGGAAGUACGUCCGCAAGGAUGAAACUUAAAGGAAUUGGCGGGGGAGCACUACAACCGGAGGAGCCUGCGGUUUAAUUGGACUCAACGCCGGACAUCUCACCAGCAUCGACAACAGCAAUGACGGUCAGGUUGAUGACCUUGCCAGAGCUGUUGAGAGGAGGUGCAUGGCCGCCGUCAGCUUGUACCGUGAGGCGUCCUGUUAAGUCAGGCAACGAGCGAGACCCGCACUCCUAAUUGCCAGCACCGGCUUCGGCCGGGUGGGUNCAUUAGGAGGACUGCCGUGGCCNACNCGGAGGAAGGAACGGGCAACGGUAGGUCAGUAUGCCCCGAAUGUGCUGGGCUACCCGCGGGCUACAAUGGCCAAGACAAUGGGUUCCAACCUCGAAAGAGGNCGGUAAUUUCCUAAACUUGGUUGUAGUUCGGAUUGAGGGCUGAAACCCGCCCUCAUGAAGCUGGAUUCGGUAGUAAUCGCGUGUCAGCAGCGCGCGGUGAAUACGUCCCUGCUCCUUGCACACCCCGCCCGUCAAAGCACCCGAGUGGGGUCCGGAUGAGGCCGUCGCACGCCGGUCGAAUCUGG
rnacentral:rRNA from 1 species